AGCAGGAUCAGCGGAGGUGGGCUCAGAGUUCACAGCCUCACAGCACUGCUCUGCAAAGCCAGCAUCAUCUCAAGCCUCCUGGGUCAGCGCGUAGUGUGACGCAAACAUGUGGACAGACAACCAGGUUGCGGCCCAACAGAUCUCGUGGAUUGGCACCUGCGCCAGGAAGGCAGCCUGCACCCUAGUUGAAUGAGCCAUCACAAUCACCAGCUCAUAGCAGCAGCGGAUGCAGGCCGUGAUCCAAGAUGAGAUUCUCUGGGCUGACACUGGGCAACCUUUCAUGCUAUCCAUGACAGCAACAAACAACUGUGUUGACUUACAGAACGACUUUGUUCUAUCAAAGUAGAAGGCCAGCGCCCAUCUGACACCCAGGAUAUGCAGCCUGCACUCCUCAUCCAUCGCAUGAGGCUUUGGACAGAGGACUGGCCCAGAUCAUUGCAGACGGACCACACCAGGCCGAAGCUCCGUCGGACCUGACCUGCUCCAGAGACCUGCCUUUGAUGAGCCAGUCAUCAAGAUAUGGGAAGAGCUGGACCCCCCCGCCCCCGACGUCUCAGGGCUCGGCUGCCGAAGGGCAAGUCCUGUAUUGACUGCUGAGCCUCAGAUGACAAGCCAGAGAGGAGCAGCCAAGAGGCUCACUGCAUGGAGAUAGUGGAAGCCAUGAUGCGGGCAGCAGCAUCAGUGGCGUCCGACACUGCCUGGAGGGCUGCCCUGGCUGCGGUCGUGCCCUCAUCGAGGAUCGCUUGAAACCCCUUCUUGGAAGCCUCAGGGAGCGACCCUUCAAACUUGGCCAUGGCUUGCCACAUAUUGAAGUGAUACCAGCCAAGGAGGGCUUGGUGGUUGGCCACUCUCAGCUGAAGGCUGGAAGACAAAUAAAUUUUGCAUCCAAAGAGAUCCAGCCUCCUCGAGUCUUUAUUUUUGGGGGUGGCCCCGGGUUGCCCUUGCCUCUCUUUGUGGUUAACUGCCUCUACCACAAGGGAAUUGGGGGCAGAGAGGGAAUGUAAGUAUUCAUGGCCCUUGGUUGGCACAAAAUACCUGCAUUUGGAUCUCUUAAAGAUAGGGGCCAGGGAGGAGGGGGUCUGCCACAGGGCACUAGUGAUUUUGGAAACUCCUUAUGAAGGGGUAGGGCCACCCUGGCAGGAGCUGAGGAGCAGAGAACAUCAAACAGAGAGUUAGAGGGCUCUUCCAGUUCCUCUGCCUGAAGCCCCAGGUUGGAAGCGAUCCUCUACAAAAGUUCCUGGUGCACUUUGGCAUCAUCCUGAGGAACCGGGUGAGGGUGCCCCAUGAUUGCCUUGUCUGGCGACGAUAAGGAUGAUGCCGGUGCUGCGGAAACCUCCAUGUCCAUUGGUGGUCCAACAGCUUGCUCCCCUGGGUCCUCCUGGACCUGUGGGGUCUUUCUUACCUCCCAAAGCUUUGAGCACCAGACUGGCUACCGAGGCUGCUGGCCUCUCUGAGGCUCCCGACACUGAUUGGGCAGCCUGGGACAGUUGGGUGAACCCCCAAGGGUUCCAUGGGUACCAUGACACUGCCCACUGCACUUGGGGCCAUGGAACCAGCGUUGGUGCCGUUGAUGCCGGCGUCACUGUAGGUACCGGGGCUUAUCCCGCAGUCAGGGAACAUUGCUCUGUACCAGAGCUGUAAGUGGAGCGGUUGGUACUGGGCAACUAGGAACGGGCGGAGCGGUGGCUCUUGUCUGACUGGUGCCAGUUGCUGUGACCCGAAGCUGACCUGUCUGAGCGAGUCAGGCAUCUUGGUUGGGGUUUCGGAGACCGACGGCGUUCGGCGGAUCUGCGUCAGACACCCAGGGAUCCAUGCCUCAUGCUGCUUGACUGGUACCGGGAUGUCGAACAGGACUGAGAGCCACUACAGGCCAGCUGUCAGGAGGAACCUCCUGAGAAAGGUCAUCUCCUCCUGGGAGACAGAUGACGACAACCGGGCAAUCGGCGAUCUCUGCUCCCCAAUCAGUUCUGUGAUUGGUACUGGGCCCUUGGAGACAGUUGGGGCCAGUCCUGGAGAUCUUGCCAGACUGCACAUGCCCCAGAGGGUUUGUGCCAAUCCAUCAGCAAGGAAUGCCUUGAAUCCCUCAAUUGGUGGCCCCAGCGUGGGUUAUGAAGGGGGCUCCGCUGAGCCUGUCUCUCUAGUCCCGAGGCAUAACGGCUUUGCACAGGCAAGCAAGGGUGGGACAUCCCUCUCGAUGGGGAACAGUGCCGCUGAGGCAGGGACACACAUAGGUCCCAAAGUCGGUUUUCCCCGAGACUGGGGUACCACUGGAGCGGGUGUGGGUGGCACUGGGAGCGUCAGGAUCUCCUGAGCUGCUUGAAGGGCUUCAGGCAUCUGAAGCUGGUCAUGGCCUGCACCGCUGUCUGGAGUCGCAGACGAAGUACAGGAUGGGCUGCACCGCUUGACUUGAGCUGGAGCCCAACUUCCUGAAGGGGGUAUUGAGCAGCCCGGCACGGGGCAUGGCUCGUCCCCAAUCCUCUCCUUUCCCUUGCGAGAGGUAGACCAUCCCUUCACAUUCUUCUUUGGCUUCAUGACCAGAGCCAUGGAGGGUGGACGGCACCGGCAGAACACUGCACACGGAGGCCAAGAUGCUCAGUGUGGAGUCGGGCUGCUGCUCUGGUGCUGGAGUGAGUGCCGACUCCAUUAGGAGCACUCUUAGACUGAUAUUGCACUCCUUC